UACGUAGGGGGGCAAGCGUUGUCCGGAUUUAUUGGGCGUAAAGAGCGUGUAGGCGGCCAAGUAAGUCUGCUGUGAAAACUCGAGGCUUAACCUCGAGCUGUCGGCGGAAACUAUUUGGCUAGAGUCCGGAAGAGGAGAAUGGAAUUCCCGGUGUAGCGGUGAAAUGCGCAGAUAUCGGGGAAGAACACCCCGUGGCGAAGGCGGUUCUCUGGGACGGUACUGACGCUGAGACGCGAAAGCGUGGGGAGCGAACAGG
rnacentral:rRNA from 1 species